rnacentral:rRNA from 1 species
AGCGAACGCUGGCGGCAGGCUUAACACAUGCAAGUCGAGCGGGCGUAGCAAUACGUCAGCGGCAGACGGGUGAGUAACACGUGGGAACGUACCUUUUGGUUCGGAACAACACAGGGAAACUUGUGCUAAUACCGAAUAAGCCCUUACGGGGAAAGAUUUAUCGCCGAAAGAUCGGCCCGCGUCUGAUUAGCUUGUUGGUGAGGUAACGGCUCACCAAGGCGACGAUCAGUAGCUGGUCGAGAGGAUGAUCAGCCACACUGGGACUGAGACACGGCCCAGACUCCUACGGGAGGCAGCAGUGGGGAAUAUUGGACAAUGGGGGCAACCCUGAUCCAGCCAUGCCGCGUGAGUGAUGAAGGCCCUAGGGUUGUAAAGCUCUUUUGUGCGGGAAGAUAAUGACGGUACCGCAAGAAUAAGCCCC